rnacentral:rRNA from 1 species
AUACGUAGGGUGCGAGCGUUAAUCGGAAUUACUGGGCGUAAAGCGUGCGCAGGCGGUUUUGUAAGACAGUGGUGAAAUCCCCGGGCUCAACCUGGGAACUGCCAUUGUGACUGCAAGGCUGGAGUGCGGCAGAGGGGGAUGGAAUUCCGCGUGUAGCAGUGAAAUGCGUAGAUAUGCGGAGGAACACCGAUGGCGAAGGCAAUCCCCUGGGCCUGCACUGACGCUCAUGCACGAAAGCGUGGGGAGCAAACAGGAUUAGAUACCCUGGUAGUCCACGCCCUAAACGAUGUCAACUGGUUGUUGGGAAUUUAUUUUCUCAGUAACGAAGCUAACGCGUGAAGUUGACCGCCUGGGGAGUACGGCCGCAAGGUUGAAACUUAAAGGAAUUGGCGGGG